rnacentral:rRNA from 1 species
UACAGAGGGUGCAAGCGUUAAUCGGAAUUACUGGGCGUAAAGCGUGCGUAGACGGUUAUGUAAGUCAGAUGUGAAGGCCCCGGGCUCAACCUGGGAAUUGCAUUUGAGACUGUGUAGCUAGGGUGCGGAAGAGGGAAGCGGAAUUUCCGGUGUAGCGGUGAAAUGCGUAGAUAUCGGAAGGAACACCAGUGGCGAAAGCGGGUCUCUGGACAGUUCCUGACGCUGAGGCACGAAGGCCAGGGGAGCAAACGGG